GUCAUCAUUGAGAUGAAGUGGAAUGUGGUCUGGUAUUUGGAUUCUUCUAAAGGUUUUCCAUUGCAAAAGUUCAAGGAUGUAGUAACUGUUGUCAACUGGGCCUAUUCUGAGUACAUUGAUCCUAAGAUGAAAAAAAAUCAAAAAACAAACCUAAACUCACACACAAGACAGAUAUCCCGUGCGCUCAGCAGCCGUCGGGGAGCACGGCGUGUGGAUUCUAUGUUGCAUUUAACAUGUACGAGCUACUGUGUGACAUGUGCAAUGUGAAAAAGGCUUCUGAUUUCAAACCAAGCAAACAGGCAGAUCAAAAUGCACUAAGGAUGGUCCAGGGGAUGUUGGCCGAAUUCAUUCUUAAGGAGAUAAUCGACCCAAAGGGUUGUUUCUAUGAUCCUACAGCAGAUGCCGCCGCGUGAGUUCAUUCU